rnacentral:rRNA from 1 species
AGCGAACGCUGGCGGCAGGCCUAACACAUGCAAGUCGAGCGGCCGUAGCAAUACGGCAGCGGCAGACGGGGGAGUAACACGUGGGAACGCGCCCUUCGGUUCGGGAUAACCCAGGGAAACUUGGGCUAAUACCGGAUACGCCCUUACGGGGAAAGAUUUAUUGCCGAAGGAACGGCCCGCGUCCGCUUAGCUAGUUGGUGAGGUAACGGCUCACCAAGGCGACGAUCGGUAGCUGGUCUGAGAGGAUGACCAGCCUCACUGGGACUGAGACACGGCCCAGACUCCUACGGGAGGCAGCAGUGGGGAAUAUUGGACAAUGGGCGCAAGCCUGAUCCAGCCAUGCCGCGUGGGUGAUGAAGGCCCUAGGGUUGUAAAGCCCUUUCAGCGGGGAAGAUAAUGACGGUACCCGCAGAAGAAGCCCCGGCUAACUUCGUGCCAGCCGCCGCAGUAA